UUUUUUUUUUCUUCACCCCAGAAUUUAAAUUUUAAUUAAAUAAUAACGGUUCGGUUGUUAUGUUUGGUCGUGUGGCAUCAUAUCGCUUUGUCGAUUCACCAACUGAUGGCCGUUAUAAUUUGGCCUUGUCACAGUCACAAUUGGAUUCAGCGUGCCUCUAUGAAAGUCGUUCACCAACUUCACCCGGUUCAUGGAAUGAUGAGGAUGGAGCCUUAAGUUCG